UGUUACAAAUUUCAUCCAAUUCUACUGUUAAAAACUGGCAUGAUUGACAGAAUAAACAAAUAGUUACACGUGACGUGUCAUGUAUACCUCAUUCAAACAUAUAGAGACCAACUUUUAACAGUAGAAAUGGAUAUUUUUUUAAUA
rfam:Gossypium arboreum cultivar AKA8401 contig_607_11, whole genome shotgun sequence.